GAGUUACUUCCCUUAGAUGAGCCAGGAUUUUAUGUGACAGAUCAAAUUCACCCGAUCAUGACCUUUGGUUUGUCAGCUCUAUACAAAUUGGUAAUCACUGAUGAUUAGUCAACUUUUUCCUAUGAAAUUAAAUUUAAUGAAAACAAAUUGAAACUGUAUCAUAUCUUCAAGCAUGUGCAGUAUUGCAGCAACAGUGAACAUGUUCACCUCAUUUUUCUCACUCCAUGACACUGAUCUGUCAUCAUUAUAGUGAUAGUUUAAAUCACAAAUUAAUCUUGGGACCGUGAGUUCUUUACUUGGCUCAUAGGUUUAACAAAAAGGUGCAGGUGGCAUGGAUGGCCUGUUGGUGUACGGCACAGCAGUUCGCUGUGCAAAACUGCAUCAUUCAGUGAUAGUGGGUUCAAAUCCCAGGUUUGGCCUGAUUACGAUUCUUGAUUUUUCAGCACCAUGCAUCAUGGUUUUCUCCAAGGGGUAACCAUGUAUGACUUGUAUCAUGAAAUUCUCCCCACAUCAAGAUGACACAUAUUCAUCUUUCAAAAAUCUAGACCUAGAAAAGAAAAACAUCUUUAAGAUAUGAUUUGCAUUUCCCUUCCUUCAUGAAUAGAGAGCCAAGAGGAUGAACUUAGUUUGACAGGGUGUAAAACAUGUAGUGUUUACUAAACUUGAGCAUGGUGUUAGAUGAUUAAAAUGUUCCAACUUGCUGACAUUGUACCUUGGGACUACUGCCGGAGUUAACUCCCUUUGCUCUUAUACCUCUCAAGACACUGUGUUAGAAUGGAGACAGUGGUGAAACAAGAUUAUGUUUUAGUGAUGUAUAAUGAAUUUUAUUAACUAUUAUGUACUAUAUGACCUAGAUUUGCUAUUCAUCAUUGUUGACUUAUAAACUCUGGGUCGUUUGAUAUGUAAUUCAUUGUGCCAAUUUUGCUUAUUAUUGUUAUCUUUCUUGUUAAACUUUACUCAAUCUGAUUUGGUUAAGUUGUCACUUCUAUUUAUAGAUAUCAUGAAACAGACUAACUUUUAUGUAAAUUCUUUAAUCACUAUUUUGGACAUUAAAUGUUUUUCCAGAUUCUUGAUGUGUACAAUGGGGCCCUGGUGGCCCCUGGAGCCAGUCUUGCUGUAUCUUGUUACUGUUCCGGGCUGCUCCUACCAUGGGUUUAGAUUGUCCAAUUGUGUGCCUCGAUUAUGAUCUGUGUUCUGUCAGCAACCCUUCCUCGAGAGUUUGUGAGACUUUGGGCUUCUUAACUUGAGGUGACACGAGUGGCCCACCCAUCUAAGUCACCGAAAUUUGCUGUGCAGAGUUGCAUCCCUUGAGCACACCAGCCACAUGAGCCCACAUCAAGCUGACAUAAUUGAAAUACUAUUUAAAGCAGCUUUCAACAUACUCACUUUCUUCAUCAGUAUAUGUAUUGAUUGUAUUGUGCUCCUUUAAUACAUCACUUUCAGAAAUAUUAAGGUUUAAGUCAUGGCUAAGUGAGGCUAUGGCAUACAAAUCAUAUAAGAAAGUAUAGACCCAAUAUGGAGGUGCAAUAUUUUUAACAAGGUGUUUGAUUUAGACUUAAUAUGCCCUUGAAGGGGAUGUGUUAAUGCAUUUAACGUGUCCUGACUAUAUGCUUGAGUUAGCUCAGAUCAACAGGUGGAUAUCUUAUAAUUAUUCAGUUGUGGAUAUAUAUAUGUGACAAUAGUGUGUCUUGGUUAGGUUGAUAUUCUUUCAUUACUUCUGGUUAUUAGUCUACCUCCACAUGUGAAUUUAUUUGUCUUGUAAAUAAAAUAGUUGAUCAGUCAGUGAACCUGUUUACAAAGAAACAUUGUUGCACUCACUAUUUACCAAUUUCUGAAUUGGUUUUAUAAUGAAAAAGAAUCUCUCCACUAACCAAUUGCAUAACUUACUUUAAAAAAGGAUGGCAUUCUCAUCAGCUCACUGAUCGCAUCUGGUCAGUGCUACCCAUCUUUACCAGUUUAAGGUGCAGAAUAGGUGGCCCUCUCAUCUAAGGCACAUAAUUUGCCAUGCAGGGUUGGCUCCCUUGCAUGUGCCAGAAACUAAUGAUCAUGGGUUUGAAUCCCAUAUUUACCCUGAUUAUGUUUCUAGGUUUGUCCAGUGCUCAUGCUGUUGAUCACUGGAUUGUCUGGUCCAGACUCGAUUAUUUACAGACCGCGGACAUAUAGCUGAAAUAUUGCUGAGUGGGGCGUAAAACUAAACUCACUCACUCACUCUAGGUUUGUCAGUACCAUACCUUUGCUCAUGGGUUACACCAGAGUGGUAAACGUCUAUGACCUGCUUCACUUCAGGUGGUCCUGGCAAAUCAAGAUGACAUGUCAGUAUAUUACCAGAAAACACUGUUCAAUGUGAGUUUAAGCCACAAUUAUGGUUAACUUGCGCUGAAACAUGGACAAUUGAAACUAAGAUCACUGAAUAUGAAAAGGUCCACUUAGUGUUUUACUCGGCUAUGAGAGGAUUAUGUGAUGAGGAAAUACAUAGGCAUGUGUACACAUGGAAAUAUGCAUUAGACUAAUCAAGCAUUAACUGUGCCUUCAGUUUCAUCCAUUGGGUGUACUUUGUGAUGUCGUAGUUUGUUUUGGUGGCGGACUCAAAUGAAUUUGUUGUAAACACAAUUUACAUCAGUCUCAUGAUUAAGCGUAAGUUUUACUGUCUGGACAUUUGUUUCACUAAAUAGAACUAAAAAGACUUGUAAUCUGUGCCUUAUUUUUAAGUAAUUUGGAAACGAUUUCUUUUGUCAUUUCCAUGGAAACAAGUUAAAACUACAAUUAUUACUUUUGACUGUCCAUGAAAACAAGUGGAAUCAGUUUGAGUCUGUUUCCGGAACAUUCUGCUAACCAUUGAGUAUGUCUUCUUGCCAUAUUUCAUGGAGCUAGGUGUUUGCCAUCUUCAGAUUUCAUUUGUUUCAGUGUGAAAAACAGAAAGAAUCAAAUACAGCCAUUUGUAAUUUUUGUUUAUGGUCCUCACAACCAAAAAUAUUGUUCUAAGCCUUGCGUAUAUGUUUCAAAUGUAAUGCAUAUCACCACUACAUGUGUUAUGUUGUCAGUUUGGUGAUCAUUUAGUUAAAGCUUGUCAUGUUGAGAUCACUUUUCACCAGAGGUUUGAGGUAUUUCCAUCAUCAUGUGUUGACAGAGAGUGAUGAUUGUAGCAAUAUAUAUGAUUCCUUGUAUUGACAUGAUUCUAGUAUUAGCUGGUGUUAUGAUUCAAGAAUUCAGUUGGUGAUGCGAUUCCUAGGUUAAGAAGGGCAUUAUUGCGAUACAGUUUUGUGAAGAUAAUAAACCAUGUGGAGUACAUUGUGAA